AGAGAGGUGGCAGAACUCCAGGAGUUUGGAAGUUUGUCCCAUCCCAGUGUUGAACUCAGCACCACAGCUCCUCUGGUGUGAGAUCGGGAGGGUGUCUGUCUCUUUCUGUCUCAGCCAUUUCCCGCUUCACUCAGGACCCCUUCCUCUGCACAUCUCUUGUCAGGGACCUUAUCACUGCUUUGCUCAGCCACCUUCCCUCAGGAAGUGCUGGAAAAGCCAGCAGGGGGAAUUUAACAGGAGGAUAAUGACCAAAAGUCCAGCUUGCAGUCAUUUUACAUAACUGAAUUUUUUUUUCACCAAAAACAAAUACAGUGGAGCACAACUACUUCAGCUCACGGUGUCCCCUUGUGUCUUUAGAAGAUGAGGAGGCAUCGGUAGUUACCGCUUUGUGCCCUUCUGGGUGUCCCGUUUGCAGGACUCCUGCCUAAACUUGAUGCUCAGGAAGUGGUGGAGAUAACCACAGUGCAGACUCCAAAAUUGCUCCGAGACAUUGUCUUCCUUGUGGAUGGCUCGAACUACAUUGGCAGCACUAACUGGCCCUUUGUGAGAGACUUUAUCAUCAAUGUGGUCAACCAGCUAGAUGUAGCUGCUGACAGGGUCCGGAUUGGUCUCAUGCAGUUUGCUGCAGAUCAGAGAAUUGAAUUUUACUUGAACAGCUACAGCACCAGGGAAGAUGUUGUGAAUAAAACCUCUCAACUCAGGCUGACUGGAGGCUCAGUUUUGAACACAGGAGCUGCCAUGAAACAUGCCCUCUCCAAAAUGUUCCAGCAAUCAACUGGGUCACGCAGGAGGCAGGGAGUCCAGCAGGUGUUGUUUCUGAUCACAGGUGGUCCAUCCAAGGAUGACGUUAAAGUCGUAGCUGAUGAGUUGGCUGUGGGUGGAGUUUUGACCUUCACAGUCAGUUCUGGGCAAGCAGAUGAGGCCCUCAUGAAAACAGUUGCAUUUGUUCCAGAUUUGGCAUACCAUGACACACAGUUCUCUAAUUUACCAGCGCUGGCUGGACAAAUUAUUCCAAAGGUGGCUGUGCAAUUUUUGUAAUUUUCUGGCGGCAUCUGGUGGAAAAGGAGCAUACCGCAACCAACUAAGCACCCCUCCUCCCUUCCCGGGCUCUGGCUUCUCAAACUUGUUUAGACCACUCGCACUGUCGACCGACAUGGGACACUUUAUGGUGUUUCAACGCAAAUGCGACGUAUUCUGGACCGUUUUUGCAACAGUAUUCAACACGACGUAGCAAACAUGGAGACUUCCACGGAGGUCGGGUCCACCUCAUGUAACUAUAUUCAACUCAAAGUUGAUGAAAAAACAUUGGUUCUUUGUUGAAGUUGAUUACAUAUACAUGAACAUAUAGUUGUUGACAAUAUAAUCAGUUUCUGUGAAUAAUUUCAUGAUGUGAGAAUGUCAAACUGUAAUAAAAAGUUUCCUUAGCAACAGUUAAUUUAGUUUUUCCUCAAUUGUUAUUUCUUGUAUUAUGAAUAUAAGAAAUUAUAUUUUGAAAGGGAUGUUUAUGAGGGGCCGUCAGGGACAUUAUUAAGAAUUGGCUCUCACACACUCAACUGAAAAAUUAUACACUCACAUACACAACUGAAACGCUCUCACACACACACAACCAAAACGCUCUCACACACACAACUGAAAAUGACAUGCUCAGACACAACUGUAAUGCUUUCACACAACUGAUUAAUUUGUACGCUCACAUAGACAUUUUCACCUAGAAGGACAUGGCACACAUGGCAGACUUUUAUUUUUGGAUUUUUCAUCUGCAUGUAACACUUUCCAGCCACAUAUAUUAGAGUUGAAUUUGCUUGUUGAUUUUAAUCUUGACAUAAGGCUUGUGGGCUGGAUUUCAGAUUAUUUAACAUAUACGUCUCAGAGGGUGAGAGUGACUGGUCAGAACGACGCUCCUCUUCCACUGGCUCUCAUCAGGUUUGUGCCCUGUCUCAUUUGCUGUCCAUUUUUUACACCAAUGGCUGUAGAAGCCAGCAUGGGGAUAGAGACAUCCUGAAAUUUGCUAGUUAUCGACAGCAUCCUCCAUAAAGAUAUUCUGAGUAUGGGCCAGUGGUAGAGGAUUUAGUGAAUUGGUGUGAUGAGGCCCCCUCCAUUUAAAUGCAUCAAAGACCAAGGAUAUGAUCAUUGAUUUUAGAAGAUCAUACCAUCCACAAUCUCAGACUGUCAUCAGAAACCGGACAGAUCUCUCUCCAUCUCUCUUUGUUUUAUUCAUUGAACCUCUAGCAGCAUCAAAUAGAGAGAGUAGUCGUAUUAGAGGAAUUCCGACAUCUAUUACGGAACACAAAAUUUUCCUUUAUGCAGACGAUGUGUUGAUCCUCCUCAGGGACCCUCAGUCAUCCCUCAAUGAAUGUAAUUCAUGGAAAUAUCUCCCCUAAUCUAUUGGAGCUGUUCACUUUAUAUUUUACACCUCUUCUCCAAUCAGUACACAACAACCUGAACCGCUGGAUUAACCUUCCGCUAUCACUCACUGAGAGAAUAGCAACAAAAAAUAUAUACAUUGUUCCUAAAAUUAACUAUCUAGUCACAAUGGUCCAUAUUACUCCAAACCACUUCUGGUUUAAAUCCCUUAACUCAGCAGUUACCAAAUUCUACUGUAAAAAUAAACCUCCUUGGAUAAAACUUUCUAUAUAACAAAAACCCAAAUCACAGGAUGGUCUUGAAGCCCCAGAUUUUGAAUUUGAUCACCUGGCGUACCAGCUCAAAUCAAAGGCUCAUGCCUCAUUCAAUGGCUCAAAGGUCCUAAGCCUGAGUCUUCCUGGUUGGACACAUAACAAGCAUUAUGUACUGACCUACAGCUAUUUGACCUCCCAUUUAUCACUCUAAGUAUCAAACAACAUCCCUGCCUCCAAAGUUUAUCUAUCGCUGCAACUUUAAAGACUUGUUGGAAAAUAGUAAAGAUCACAAACUCUCACAGAAUUGCUCCAUCUCUCCGCUCUCCUCUUUGGAAGAAUCCAGACUUUACUAUUAACAAGAAAACAUUAAAGUUCGCCCUCUGGAAGGACAAGGGUAUUACACAUCUUCAUCAGAUCAUUCAGGAAGACUUAUCAGCUUCACAGAUCUGGUCCAGAAAUGUAACACUUGAAACUAACUUUUUUUUAGAAUACGUGCAACUAUGAUCAACAAUUUUACCAACACUCAAUAAGACAAUUAACUCUUUAACUAAUCCAAUCCCAAUUGACAAAAUAUCAAAUAUUUCCAGUGCAAAAAAAAUUAUACCAAAAAUGUACAUGAUUAUAAAUCAGGCUGAAACCUUGGUAUGAAACCUGUACUAAUAUCUAAAUGGGUAAAAUAACUCUCCAUUUGUGAUAACACAAACCUCUGGAGCCAAAUCUGCAGUAAUAUCUUCAUCAAGAACAAUAGCAAACAUAUACAGUUUAUACAGUACAAUAUUAUUCAUAGGACACAUUAGACUGUCGCUAGAUUAUAGAAGAUGGGCUUCACAGAAUCAGAUAAAUGCACUAAUUGUUCACUUGACACAGCAGUGAAAAACUUCUAUGCAUCCCUUUUUGUCCAAGAACCUGCAUCCUCUGAGACAUUUCACAACUUCUAUUACCAAGCAGAAAUUCUACCGUCCUCCUAACAUGUUUAACUAUCGCCAAGAAAACUAUCCUCUUAGACAGUGGCACAUUCUCUUCCUGGGACACAUCAUUGAUGAGAUGGGCGUGAGACCCGACCCGGAGAAGGUAGCAGGAAUUGAGAACUUUCCACAACCACAGAAUGUAGCAGAGCUCAAACGGUUUCUGUGAAUGGUCAACAAAUGAACACGCACCUGACUGCAUAGAAGGAGGAAGUCAGAACACAACAUCACAAACUGACUGUUUGUGGCUCAUUCGCAAGUAAGAAAACACCUGACAUUAUCAUAAUAAAUGUAAAGAAUGAACAGUGUUGGGAAAUCUAAUUGAAAAUAGAGUUCUGAAGCACAUCUAAAACAUAAACACAGAUAGCAAUACUACGCAGUUAAAGUGUGUUUUGAGUUUAUAUUUUUGAACUUCAGCGCAUUUCAGCCAUAUUGUAUGGAUGACGGUUUUUACAGUCCUGCCACGGCCACAGAUGAGGGAUUUUUUUUUAAUUUCAGUGUCAGAUCAUUCAAUGUAUUCAUUGCUAUCAAUAUGUUACGAGAUUUUCAAGUUAUAUGACAGAAAGGGCUUCUCACAAAAAUCGCCUACCCCAACUUUAAGAAACUUUGUUUUCCUUGUCAUUUGGUUAUGUCUCUCUGUUAGGUUACUUUUUGUUAUUCAUCGUGUUUCUUGUAUUACGUUUGCAAUUUCCCGUUUUACCUUGUAGUUUCAUUCCUCUUGUCUCUGCACUUCCUGUUUCCCUUUCUUGUAUGUUCACUUUGCCUUUCCUGUGUUUCCUGCCCCUGUGAUUGUCCACCCCUUGUUCCUAACGUGUCUCACCUGUGUCUCACUACCUGUGCCCUCUUGUGUCUAGUCUCUGUGCUUCCCUUUGUCUGUGUCAGUUUGUCUGUUAUGUUCAUGUCAGUUUCGGCUCAGUUCGCUCGCUUUGUUCCUACUUUGAUAACUGUGGUUUGGUUUGUUAUUUUGUUCCUGUUUUUGCAAUUAGUUUUUCUGCCUGAGUUUGAGUUUAUGAUUACUUGAGUUUUCGAUCUUGUUUGUUUUCCCUUAUAAGACUGUACGUCUGUUUUUUUUCUUACUUUUUAUUAAAUAACCUUUGCCCUUG